rnacentral:rRNA from 1 species
GACGAACCGAGCGAACGUUGUUCGGAAUCACUGGGCUUAAAGGGCGCGUAGGCGGGUUCUCAAGUCCGGGGUGAAAUCCCACAGCUCAACUGUGGAACUGCCUCGGAUACUGGGUGCCUCGAGGGUGGUAGGGGUAUGCGGAACUAUCGGUGGAGCGGUGAAAUGCGUUGAUAUCGAUAGGAACACCGGUGGCGAAGGCGGCAUCCUGGACCGGUAUUGACGCUGAGGCGCGAAAGCUAGGGGAGCAAACGGG